CGUUCAGCAUUCUUUCCAACAGUUUAAAAUGAAAGUCCGUGAAUAAAAAGAAUUCCUUUAUUUUGGGGAAUAAAAUUUCCUUAAAGAUUGGAUUUUCACCAAAAUUAACUCAUCACCUCAAGCCACCCCCUUUCUCUCUCUAUUCGGCUGGUAGCCGGAAUUCGCCCCACCUAACACCGCCAAUGACGCCGCCGCCCGCCGCCUCCACCGUCCGCCGCCGGUGGUGGUCCAAAUGCCACCAAACUAACCACAUCUUCCUUUUUUCAUUCUCUAUCCGAAUCCAUAAGCCAAAACUCUUAAUUCCCCGCCAAUCUCUGCGAAUUAAUCGAAAAUCAGUAAAAAGCCUAUCUUUUUCACUCCUUUUCAAAUUCGUAGAGUUUUGAGCACCUCCUCAUCGCAAAUCUUGCAUAUGCUGAUAGGUAUCGUAAAGAUCUGUCGAUCUUUAUUGGUUUCGAGCCCGAACUCCGAUGGACGGAUUCCGGCAAGUCGCCGGCGAGCGUCCCUUUUCCACUAGUAUUCUCGACCAGAUUAUGCUGGACCCUCAAAGUUUUGCUCAGAACGACUCGAACAGACUUUCUUGUCAGCGUGAUACUAAGGAUUGACGAAUUGUCAAUUUUUAGCAUACGUCGAUAAGAGGGUCUGUUCGUUGCCGGAUAUGUGCUAUCUCCAUCAUAGUUUCAAGGUUUGCAUUGAGUUCCGAAGUGCCGGACGGUGGUGGAAUUCAGUUCCCUUUUCCCCUCGUUUCAUUUCUGUCCUCAGAGUACAGUUUUGUGGAAUAAAAUUGCAAAAAUAGCUACAAGGACAAGGGCAAAAGAUUGUGGUCCAAUUAGCAAGCAAAUAACACCUAAAUUAGCAGGCGGGUUGGGUGCUACUCCAUAGAGAAGACUAUCGAAGCAGAAAAGCUUCAGUUCCGUACAUUCUUCCUGGUCUUGGCAAGCAAGUCUGAAGAAAGUGUUAGAGAGAACAACAAUGACUCUCAGUCUAAGUCAACCAAAAUUUUUGGGUAACUCUACGACAUUCAAAAUGGAUGAUUCUUUGAAGUGCGGAUUCCUCAAAUUGUCUAGCGUUUCUCUUUCCCAAAAAAAGACUUUGCAGACUUUACAGUGUUCUAGUGUUGAUUUUCCCGUACCAAAGGGAGAGAGGAAAGUUCACACACCUAAGGUUUGGUUUGAUGAGAAUGCUGGGUACAUUGUAAGAAGAAUUGCGUUGGUGGAAGAAAAUGGUUUCGUAGUAAGAAGAAUUCUUUUGGAUGAUGAUGAACUGUGUAAAGUUGCAGAAAUAUAUGAUGAAGUAUUCGGCAAAUUGAGUUUAAUAGCUCGCAUGUUCAAGUUUUUUGAAGCUUUGGCCAUGAAGAUCUCUCUUAUUUCGGACAAGCUUAUUAGACUUCUUGAUAAAGAUGAAGUGUCUCUUGUCGGCAAUAUCAUUCGGUCUUUUGGUAUACCAGUGUCUCUUGUGUCUCAUGUUUCGGUAUUUGGGUUUCAGAUUAUCUCGGCUUUUGGACUUCAGUUUCUUUCAGGCUGAAGUAAUUCAACGGAUUGGUGCCAACCUACAAAAUUUACCACCAGACACGUAAACAUCAACCAUUCUUAUUUUCGGUGUUAUGUAUUCUCUGUUUUUCUCUGUUUUAAGAGAAUUAGUGUAGUGUGACUACUUACUACUUCUUGACAAAUAAUAACACCGUUAUAACUGGAAAACGGCCAAUUGAUAAAGCUCAAGACUACCUUCACGACAAUAUUGUUGACUGGGUAAGUUUGUUUUGUGAGUGGUUCAGUAAUCUCGGUCAGCUACAUGUAUCCGGGUCAGCUACAUGUGGUUCAGAUAUAUCACGUGCAUGUGUGAGUGGUGCAGUAAUCUGGGUCAACACUGACAAGAAGUUUCUUUUCUAAUUCUGUUCCUUGAAGUUAUUGACCUCUUUUCUUAUUAUAACUUCUUGGUAUUUGUUAAAUGGAUGAAACUCUACUUUAUUGUUGGUUGUGUGUUGCUAUUUGGGCAAAUCUUUGUCAGUGUGGAGUUUGAUGUUGUUACUAGGAGUUUUGCAGAUAUAGCUUGGUUUCUAAGGUUGCUGAUUUCAUGAGGUGUAGCUGCAAAUGCUAUUAGUUUCUAUAUCUUAUGUUAACAAGAUAAAGGACACCAUAUUUCAGUGAAACCUAGGUUUACUUGUCUGAUUAAUAUGCUUAUUAGUUAAUUGUUUCUCUUACAAAUUGUAGGUGCUAUUCAUUUAUAUCUGAGUUUAUACAAAAUGCAACGGGAUAGACAUCUUAUUUCUACAGUAUUGAACAAGUAAAUCUAUGUUCAAAAUAUAUGUUGUCUGAGAUUGCAAGCCCCUAAAAGGA